AUGCCUUUGAUGCUAUUAUGGAGAAGAAUCGUCAAGCAUAGGAUGAUCAGAAAUAUCUUCUUCAGGAGGAUGAGACUCAUGCCGAGACCUAGAAAGCUCUUAAAGAUGAGGGUUAGUGACCAGGCUAUGGAGAAAGCAAGGAGUUUCUUUCUUAAUUCUAUUAUCUCAGCCGAAGCGCUACACUCGUUUCAAGCUUCUUUUGAGGCAGUUCUAGAAGGUGAUCUUGGUGCCCCUGCUCUGGGAGCUUCGACUUAA